GUUUUAUUCUUAUUCCUUAAUAGAGAGAAUUCAUUCUAGAUCGCUAACUUGUUUUCUCCAUUUCUCUCUUUACUGUUUUUACCUAUAAAAAAUAAACUUAACUUAUAAAGAUUUUUUUUAGCAGAUCAGUCUCUCUGUGACAGAAGCACACAACACUUGACAAUUUUUGCUUAUUACACAAACCAGAAUAUCCUAUAGAUUUCAUCUUCUUGCUAACAUAACUGGAUUAGCAAUCAGAAACAAAUGCAAUUAGAUGACAAUUGUAUGGAAUAGGAAAAAUGUAAUUAAAUAGUAAAGAGCAAACAAAGAUGUUUUUAUUCCAUGAGAAAAAUAAAUUUCAGGCCUUGAAAUAAAAUAUUCUAUACAAGCGAAGAAUAAGAUUAAAAAGGUAUUUAGAUACACAUGAGGCCUGGUGCCAUGAAACAGUGAUAUUGAAUAAGUGUUAAUAUUAUUUUUGGCAGUAAAUAACUUAAAAAUAUUCAGAAUAAAAUGCAUCAGGAUAUUAAGAUUAACAGAAGGCAGAGUUUCCAGAGCCUCGUUUACAUGACUAUAUAUAUAUUUCUUUUUUUCUUAAAGCUUAGAAGUGGUUUUAAAACAGAUUACAACAUUUGCAUGAAUGAGUACCAAAUGAACAAUGAAUUUGUGAAGAAAAUGAGCCCUCCACCCAGUCUAGUAAUUUUAUGGUUCAAAAGUCAUAUCAGAUUAUUUUUAAGCCUUUAUUUCAUUGUGGGUAUAAAUUUGAAGUAUUAUCUCAAAUGUGAAGAAGCAUGAAACAGCUCAUUGUGGAGUUCAAGCAAAUAGAAACAACUACUGCGGCUAUUUCUAUACUAAGCUCAUCCCUAAAUUCAAUUGCGAUUUUAAUUAUUUUGAGAUAGUUUGGGCUUGGGAGACGUCCUUAAGGGUUAGUUGUUAUAUAAUGAAAAAUAUUGGGCAAAAUUAUUUGAACAGACUGUUAAGAUGACAAGGUAAACAAAUGAACAGCUUUCCUAUCCAGUUAUUUCUUUUCCUUUAUUCAUCAACAAAUCUCAGAAGAAACUAUGUUCCAGGAGCACAUUGUUCUCAUGCUUUGGAUACAAAGUUAAAAUUGAUAUAACCCUUUUUCAGGAGAAGUUCACUGUUGGCUAGGGAAGAGAAACACAAAAACAGAUCAUUGUAAGGCAACGUUCGAAGUGUUAAUAAAGAAGGAUGAGAAUUGUUUGCCGUUGGGAAUGAUUACCUUUGAAUAGACAAGUCUAGAAAGUCUUCAUGGAGAAGUCCUGGGUCCUGAAGAAAGAGUAAGAGAUUAUCAGGAAAAGAAAAGAGGAAAGCAGGAUGUCUUCUGUGGUUACUUUUUAAAUCUAAAUAUUUUAAACGAUUGAAUAAUCUGAGGGAGCAUGCUGGGAGUCAGCCAGAAAACAGUCUGAAUGGACGCAAUUUGAGAAACAGUCGACCUUGGUUAACUGCUUUAUUGGGAUAGAGCCACAGACUGUAAAAUUCACUCUUUGAAAGCACACAGCAUUAUUCACAACAGCCAAAGGAUGCAAACAACCCAAAUCCAACUCAAGUGGUGAAUGGGUGAGGUCAAUCAUGAGACCACCUCCUGGAGACAGUGAUUGGUGGAGGGAAGAGUACAUGACCAAGGCAAAUUAAGUCCAGACCAGUCAGGUUCUUCCUGGUGUUUUUUCCUAACUGAAGCAUCUUUCUGGUGAAGAAGCUAUCAGAAGAGAGUUCUGUUUCCCCUUAGGAUGUGGAAAGUCUCAAGAAACUAUUACUCCCACUCGAAAAAUACAAAAAAGCCAGAUAAUCUACAAAAUCUUAAAUUUUCUUGAGCUCAUCACAGAGCCAAGGUCAAAAGGCAACCAAGUAAACUGAACUCCAAAGAGUGACAAGCUACUCCAAAGAGAGAUGGAACAUGCAAACUCUCACCUGUGGCAAAUCAUGGGAGAAAAAGGUUACCAAAAUAAAAACAGGCCUACUGGUGGUAGCAGGUGUGAUCCCUAAGAAAGAAUCCUGUGGCCAACGGCUCAGCUAUCUGAGAGUGGUAGGUUGCAGAGUCUGCUGGGUGACAAGUUCAAAAGGACACCACAUGGAAGAUCAUAAGGGGCCAGUUCCUGAGCAGACAUGAGACGACACCCUGGAGAAUGCCGUGAAAUUGAUGAGGAAUACAAUUGCCUUCACUGAUGCCCCUGGAAGCAGAACUUGAGAUAGGGACUCAGAUGCAGGAAGAUUAGCUCUGAGCUAACUACUGCCAAUCCUCCUCUUCGUGCUGAGGAAGACCAGCCCCGAGCUAAUAUCCGUGCCCAUCUUCCUCUACUUUAUAUGUGGGAUGCCUACCACAGCAUGGCUUUUGCCAAGCGGUGCCAUGUCUGCACCCAGGACCCGAACCAGCAAACCCAGGGCCGCCGAGAAGAGGAAUGUGCGAACUUAACUGCUGCACCACCGGGCCAGCCCCUAAAAUUUGAUUUUUAAACGAUGUGGUUUUUCUCUCUUCCUUUUGCCCAGAUCAUUCUCCUCACUAUUCAAGGAGCAGGAAGACAUUUUUAUACACACACACACACACGCACACAUGCAUAAAAGGAAUUGAAUUAUUUGGAUUUUGAGCUCUUGAGUAGGCUUUUGUAAAUCUAUGGCAGAGACAAUAAUCUUCAAAGUCAUGGUUUUCAACUUCCUAAACCUGAUGCUUAAGAGAGAAAAGGAUAAAAAUCUGGCUUUAAAAAAUAAAGGCAAAGAUGGAGAACUCAGAGCAUAGAAUUUCACCAUAAAAUAUUUCAGUCAAUUUGGGAUCGAUGAAGGUUAAUGUAAAAGCUAUUUUUCCACUCAAAGAGAAUAAAAGUUUGAGUAGCAGAGAAGGGAGGAGAUGUGACUAGACCUUAGAUACUGCCUGAGUCCUUGGGAAGGUUCUCAAAACAAUACCUCUGGGGGUUGGGUAAGAGGAGGCCUAGGGAAAGAAACCUCUGAGAGGGCUGAGAUUCCUGAACCCAGAAGAUGCAAGCCUCAUAAAGAAGCAAGAGUCCAGUGUAGGGCCUAAGAGGUAGCUCAACGGGAGAAUGUGCCUAAGGGCAGCCAUCCUCACCUUAACCCUACCCUCUCUGUGUAGACUGGAAAAAAUUAGUGAGAGGGGCUGAGUACUCAAAGGUGUGGGACAAGGAAGUGCUGAGUUUGGGUCAAUGUUCUAAAAAGGGCCUGGAGUUAGCAUAAGAGGAUGUAGAAUGUGUGGAUGGCCCCAUCCAAGGUCAUGUCCCCUUCUCAGGACAACCCGUAUCCAAUGGCUGAUCAAUAUGGAGACAAAAAGACCCAGCCCUCUUACUCAAACUUGGGACAAUUCUGAUGGGUCAUCCCAGCUUCAGAUGGGGACACAUUGGCAGCUAAGGCCUCUGUUGAGACCACAUCACAAUUUAACUUCUUCCUCUGUUCAGUCCUCCUUCCUUCCCUUCUUCUUCAUCGAUGUGCCACCCAAGAGGGCUCCCUAACAAACUUUCUGCAUGCUAAUCUCCAUCUGAGUCUGCUUUCUGGGGAACACAACCUGCAACAGUCUUUCAGCCUGCUUUGGGAAAGGAAGACUUUGUAAGUCAGGUUAAGAGCCUGGAUGUUAGUCUCAGGACAAGGUGGAGUCAUUGAAGGGUUUUAAGAAGGAGGUGAUUUGACCAGCUGUGGAUAUUAGAUCCCCUGGCUACAGUGUGGAAAGUGGACCCAAGAGGGCUUGACUGGAGGCAGGGACAUCAUAAAUGUGGCUAUUGAAUUACACAGACAAAAGAUGAUAAUUCCAUGAACUUGGAGAUGUGACAAUAGAGAUGGAAAUAAGCUGACAAAUUGUAGUAAUAUUUACGAAGUUCAGUCAAAAGGACUAAUUGAUGAUAUGUGGGUUUGAAGGAGUGGGAAGAGUCAGAAAUGAUGUCCAGGUUUCUGGAUUGAGCAAUUAGUGAUGCCAUCACCGACUCCAAGUUACAGCUCUUAAAAAAGAAGACACUUCCUACUCCCUACUGCACCUGAGCUGCACUGUAAGUCUCAAGGAGUCUGAUGAUUUCCUAAGUCCUGUAUAGGGUGACUUUUUCCAAUUAACUCCUCACAGAAUGCAGAGCCAGCCAUUCCCCUUCCAAUGCCCCACCACCACUACAGAAAAGCAGGAGAACUGGGCUCAACUAUUUGUGCCUCCAAAACAUAUAAACAAUUAUUUAUGCCGAAAAGAGAAAGAAAAUUCAACAUACGAAAAAAUUGAGGAGAAGCAAUAUAGCAGACAGUUUAAAAGCAUGCAUUUUGGAGUUAGACUGAGUUCAAAUUCUGGCUCUACCACUUAUGACAUAUCAAUUUGAGCAAGUUAUUAACUUUUCUGUGCCUCAGUUUCUGUUAUUUACAAAAUAUGGACAAUGAUGGCACCUACCCCAAAUGGUUUUUGUGAAGAUCAAAUAAAUUAAUGCAAGGAAAAUGCUGAAAAUCGUGCCUGGCAUACAGUAAUCACUUAAUAAACGUUAUCAAUUAUUAUUCCACUAGAAUGUAGGCUCUGUGAAGAUAAGAAUUUGUCCCUUUUUUUGCCUCAUGAGUCUCCAAUGUCUGGAAUGGGGCUUGGUGCCUAACAAAUAGAGUCACACAAUCAUUAUUUGUUGGAUGAAUAAGAUCCCUGAGAAGAGAGUACUGGUUGCCUACCCCAACAGGCAUUCUUCCCUUCCUCCUUAGUAACAGAAUCCAGAUUUUUGUCUGGGCAUACUAAUACCUGGAAUUAUGUUUUCCUGCUUUCCUUGCAGCUAAAUUUGGUCAAUGAAAUGUAAACUGAAAUGUCUUAUGGAACUUUCUGCCAUAUCUGGAAGUGGCCCUUCUAUCUUGUCUCUUCUUUUGGCCUGCAACUAAGAUGCCAGAAGUUGCAGCUGCUGUCUUGAACCAAAAGGUACCCUGAAGAUGGAAGCCAUGUGCCAACAUGAUGGACAGAAACAUUGUAGCUUGAGACUCUCAUGUUCUCAGAGAACUGCCAGGCCAACCCAGGAACGCCGACCUCCAGACUUCUUUUACCAGAGAAAUACAUUUCCGUAUUUUUGAGCCAACUUUGUUUUAGGGGUUUGGUUAAAUGCUGCCAAACUAAUCCUAAUUAAUACAUUUGUCGAGCUGAUGAUUUUAAACUACCUUAAUAAGGCCAAUUAUUCAAUCUCAGAGUCUUGUAUAACAAUCUUUAACAGCAUUUAUCCUUUGGGACUUUUUAUAUGGUUUUAACAGGAGACAUGCUUUGUCCACAACGAGAGGAAAGGGAAACCCACAUAUAUUGGAUACCCAUAAUGAAUUAACUUCUUCCACAUACAUGAAUUUAUUUAAACAUCACACCUGGGACGGUGGGUAUUAUUUGCCACAUUUUCAAAUAAGCAAACUUAGGCUACAGAUGUUUACUUGGCUUGCCCUCAGUCACCGUGUAAGAAAGCUGUGGAGGUGGAAUUUGAACCUGUGUCUGUUUGGCCCCAGAGCCCAUGCCCUUCCCAUGACCCCUCACUGCACACAACCAACCACAUAAACUCAUUCUCAAAGGCCCAAGAUUGGUUUCCUCAUCACGUGGCUAAAGAGGUAUCAGCAUAGUUAUUUCCUUUGGCAUAGUCUACCUUUACUUUUUCAUUUUCUGGCACUUUGAAAACUUGGGGUCCAUUGCUUUAAAUCCAUCUUUAUUUCUCACAGGCCUUGUUUUCAAAUCACAGAUUUCUAUUCACAAGGUGACAGCGGCUCCUAAAUAUCUCCCUCAACCACUCUGACUUGCUAGAGCCUGUCGUUCCAGUACCAAUAAAAUGCAAGUGACUCAAAUUGAGAUUACCAACCUCUCAUCAGACCAGCUGGAGAGAGUGCAUGGUCUGCCUUGGCCACACCCAGUUCUCUUUCCCAGAGUUUUUCUCAUUUACUAAAUAUGAUCUCAAGGCUGCUCCACCUUCUGUACUCUCUAUCUCAGUGAACGUCAUCACCGUCCAUCCUGUUGCUUAAACCAGAAUCCUCUGAAUCAUUCUUGAUACCUCCCUCUCCAUCAUCCACCACAUACAGGAAACAUUAAGCCUCCUUUUCCUUAUCUUUUAUGUGUAACAUUAAUCCAUCCCCUAUUUCAGGCCAGUACUCGCUUAUUGAUAUUAUUGCUAAUUUUUCUCCUUGCCUCCAGCCAAUUCUACACUUCAAAACACAAAUUUUAUGUCAUUCCUCUUUUUUUUUUUCUGGGAAAGAUUCACCGUGAGCUAACAUCUGCUGCCAAUCUUCCUCUUUUUUUUUUUUAAGUCCCCAACACCCCAGCACGCAGUUGUAUAUUUAAGUUGUAAGUCUUUCUAGUUCCUCUGUGUGAGCCGCUGCCACAGCAUGGCUACUGACAGACAAGUGGUGUGGAUCUCUGCCUGGGAACCAAAGCCAGGCCGCCAAAGCAGAGUGUGCCAAAUUUUAACCACUAGGCCAUCAGGACUAGCUCUUGUUCCUCUUUUUUUUUUUUUUUUUUCAAGAUUUUAUUUUUCCUUUUUCUCCCCAAAGCUCCCCUGGUACACAGCUGUAUAUUUUUAGUUGUGGCUCCUUCUAGUUGUGGCAUGUGGGACGCCGCCUCGGCAUGGCUUGACGAGUGGUACCAUGUCUGCGCCCAGGAUCCGAACUGGUAAAAUCCUGGGCCACCGAAGCAGAGCGCACAAACUUAACCACUCCGCCAUGGGGCUGGUCCCUCAUUCCUCUUUUUAUUUUAAUUUUUAUUGAAGUAUAACUUAAUAAAGGUAUUAACUUAGUAAAGUGCCCAAAUCUUAAAUAUAUGACUUGAUAUGUUUUUAAAUAUGUAUACCAGAUCAAGACAGAGAAUAUUCUGGCACUCCAGAAGGCUCUCUCAUGCCCUCAUUUGAGUCAUACUCCACCCCCAAGGUAACUACUAUUCUGAAUUCUGUCACCACAAAUUAGUUUUGCCUGUUUUAAAAACUCGUAGAAGUGGAAUCAUACAAUAGGUUCUUUUUUGUGUAUGACUUUUUCACUCAAUGUCUAUGAUAUUCAUUCAGUAUGUGGCACUCCUCUUUAUUGCUAUGUAGUAUUUCAUUCUGUGAAUACAUCUCAAUUUAUUUACCCUUUUCACUGUUGAUGGAUGUUUGAAUCAUUUAUAGGUUUUAGAUAUUAUGAAUAAAACUGUUAUGAACAUUUUUGCCUAUAUCUUCUGGUUGACACAAGCACACAUUUCUGUUGGUACAUAACCUAGAGCAGAAUUGCUGGGUCAGAGAGCAUUAGUAGGUAUUAUUAUUAUGUUGUGUUGUAUUGUAUUAGGUAGGUAUUCGUAGGUAUUGUAUUAUAGGUAGGUCUUAUAAGAAUUCCAGUUAUUCCACAUCCUCAUCAACUCUUGGUAUUGUCUAUCUUUUUAAUUUUAACCAUUCUGGUGGCUUUAAAAAUCUUUCUAUGACACCUCACCUAGAUAAAGUCCAAACUCCAUAACAUGAUAGACAGUCCUUCAUAACCUGAAUUCUACUUAUCCAUUUAGCCUUAUCUCUAAUCUCUGCCCACCUUGAACUUGAAGCUGUAUACCUAAUAAAUUACUUGUGGAUCCUUGAGUGCUCUUUGUUUGGUUUUGUUCUGCUUCGCUUCUGGUCUCUGAACUUCCUCUUCUCCUGUGCCUUCUUUUCAUUUGGAUAAGUCUUUCUCAUCCACUGAGCCUCAGCUUAAACAAUACCUUCUAAACAUUCCCAACCUCAAGAUUCAGUUAAAUGCCCUUCAGUGUGCACCUAGAAUUCCAAAUGUUUACUCUUUUCUUAAUAUGCAUCACAGUAGAUUGUAAUUGCCUGUUGACUUGUCCAUUUUUCCUGGGACAGGGACUGUAUCUUGUUCAAUUGAGUAUCCCCAGUGCUUA
rnacentral:lncRNA from 1 species